UAAAUGACAAAAACAUUAAACACUUGCCGUAUGAGUUUGGCUACUCGAAUCACGUUUUUCUAAGCUUGAGUAAUCAGUUCUCCAAGGUAGAGGUUGUCCUCAAUUUUCAUUAGGAUUCCGCAAAGGGAUUAUCAUCAUGUUACUCAAGCAGAUUACCAUCGACAAAAACACGUGCAUCAAUGAAAACCACUUAAUGAAAAGCAUGCAUGUCUAUCGUAAUAUUUAUAACAGAUUCCUGAAUAACCCUAAACCCCUGUCGCAUGGAAGAGGCACCUUAUUAGCCCCGAUAACACAAGUACCGUAUUUUUCAACCGAGUACGGGAGAAAACCCCGCUAAAUGUCUUAAGGCACAUUUGUGAAAUCUACGAAAGCUGCUGAACAAUUACAAAAACAGUUUAGCAUUUUCAGCAACGAAACAGCAUGCCAUUGCGAGAGGUAGCAUGCUAACUGAUGCUAGCCAAAAUGCAAAAUGAUCUCACUUGCUGCCUGUAAAAGCAAACCAAAGCAAUUCACCAACUGAAACGCUGAGUAGACUAAAGGUAAAACUGAAGUAAAACUUCCCUAAAUUUAAUUUAAUUCUACAUAGGCGUACUUUUCCAACAACACUUUGACGUCCAUGGCUGCCUACGCUGCUAAUACAAGCAGCCAUCUUGCCUUAAACAGCCAAAAAAAUUAGCAACAUUUAAAGAAAAUUACAGAAAACGGUUGAGAAAUACAAAGCUUAAAAUGUACCAAGAAAUAUAUAUUUACAA